rnacentral:lncRNA from 1 species
GUCUUCAUUCCGUGCCUGACAACAGGGAGUCAAAAGGGGCCAACAGGGAGUCAAAAGGGGCCAACAGGGAGUCAAAAGUGGCAUCUCCGAACCUGCUGCGAAGCCCUGAAACUUUACUGGAGAGCGCAAAGUGAGGGGCUUCUGCAGAACAAAAUGUCUGAGUUUGUGCCUUGAGCUUUCCCGGGGUCCUGAAAGCCAAACUCCCUCGUAGGCGUAAAGGUCAGGAAUCCAGCAGCAGCGAGGUGAUAGACACGAAUCCCAGCAGUCGCUUGAGAUGCUUACUCUGGAAACAAACUCUCACAACAAAAGUGGCAAGAACAGGAGACCUGAUGCAAUGGCAAAACAGAUGAAAACCGUGUGUUCCAUCCCAGGGGAGAGGCAGGGUGAGGAUACCACUAGGCUUUCACAUCCAACCCCUUCAUGUGAAUGAUUUCUAACGGGAGCUCCUGUCCUUGCCUGCAGACAAAAGCAGAAUGCAUCACUGUUGCCAGACCACCUGGGACAUGGGGAGGAGAGG